AACCUUCAUCAAUAUAACCACAUCAAGUGUCUAUUCGAAGUGGCUGGGUGAAUCCGAGAACUACGUUAAAGUAGUCUUCACUGUGGCCGGCAGAUUAUCGCCUAGUGUUAUAUUUGUUGAUGAGGUUAGUGUGAUCCUCCAUAUCUAUUGUUGAUGUCUUAUUUAUAAUGAUAUUAAGGAACUCUCUUGACGGUCAAGCGAGACGUAGUAUCACUAAUGAGUUUAUGCUUAACUGGUAUGGCUUGCAUACAAAUGAGAAUAGACGAGUACUGGUUCUUGCAGCAACAAAUAGGCCGUUUGAUCUGGACGAGGCAGUAAUCAGAGGCUUUCAAUAAGGUUGAUGGUCAAUCUGCCAGAUGCUCAAAACAGGGAGAAAAUAUUGAAGGUAAUAUUGGCCAAAGAAAAAUUAGGUGAAGAUGUGGAUUUCAAAGUAAUCGCUGAAAUGACCGAUGGAUAUACGGGAAGUGAUCUAAAGAAUCUUUGUGUGGAAGCUGCAUAUUGUUCGCUAAGGAAUAGUUUAGAGAAAUCUGGUGAAGAUAACAUACAAGUUCAGAAUCUUUGUGUGGAAGCUGCAUAUUGUUCGCUAAGGAAUAGUUUAGAGAAAUCUGGUGAAGAUAACAUACAAGUUCAGGAAUUGGAACUGAGAAUGAAUGACUUCGAAGAUGCUUGUGAAGAGAUAUCACCAAGUGUUGCAUCACAGUCUGAUGA